GGCGGCUCCUGGACCCCGCGGUCACAGGAGGAGGAGCCCAGGCCGAGGCAGCCGGAGCCGCCCGCGCCGAUUGGUUACAAACGAGAGUCAACGGCCGGCGCCGCGCCAACCGCCGCCGCGGGACCACCAGCCAGGCACCUGAUUGGUUGCGGGAGGGAGGCGUCUGUUCUCUCAGGACUCCCCUCUCUCUGUUUGGGGAGGGUGGGUGUCUCUGGGCAUCGCACCCUGGUAGCUUGGGGCCUGACCCCAUCCCCUCCUCAGAGGCACGGUAUACAAAAAGAGAAGAAGGAUGAUCCUGUGUUAGGGCACUAACUUGGGGACUUGUGAGACCUGGGGUUGAUUUACCUGCUUCAUCACAACUUCUGUGUGACUUUGGACAAGUCACUUAAGCCCAGAUCCUCAAAGAUAUUCAGGCACAUAACUCUUAUGAAAUCAAUGUGGGUUAGUCCCCCAAAUACCUCCCAGGAUUUCCAAUAAGGCCUCUGUAAAAUGGGGAUAAUACUUCCCUACUUCAUAGUGGCAUUGGAAAGAUAAACACAGUACAGAUUUUGAAGAGCUCAGAUAAGACACUAAUGGGGGCCGAUAAGUACAAAUAUCCCAAUGUACAAAAUUUUAAGGAUAUAAACUCUGCAAGUAGUAUGCCAAUUGUAAUAUUUGAGACUCAAGUGUUUAUACCAUAUGUUUUACAUAGCAUGUUUAUACGGUACACAACUUUUAUUCUGAAGAGUCACCUCUUAAUGCACUGUCCACCAAUACGGUGUGUAAUAAUAAUGAAUUUCUUCUAUGUGCUUGCUUAAGUAUUUGAGAACCUAUUCAGUAGUGGUUUGUUUUUUUUAAAAAAGCAAAGGUCUGAAUUAAUUUUCAGAUAAAUUACUAUGAUUAAUGAGUUGGAAAUUGUCAGGACUGGUUAUGUUUUGUCCAUUCCCAUCCUCCCAAGAAAGUAAGUCAGGUUUUCAGUCUCAUUCACUGAACGUGGGAGAAGAAAUCUGGGCAUCUAUCCUGUUUACGGAUCAUGAUUGGCUGGCUCCACCACUCGUCCCACUGUUGAGGCACAAACAAAGUGACAUUUAUCAAAUUUUCAGCUUUAGGUUUGUUAAUUUUCCUUUGUGUAAUCAGUUCCUAGUAGAUGUUUCUCUAUUAAAAUGUUAUUUAGUACAAUUGUCAAAAGUACAACACAAUGCAAAUAAAGUAAUUGUAGUAACCUAAA